GACGAACGCUGGCGGCGUGCUUAACACAUGCAAGUCGAACGGAAAGGCCCUGCUUUUGUGGGGUGCUCGAGUGGCGAACGGGUGAGUAACACGUGAGUAACCUGCCCUUGACUUUGGGAUAACUUCAGGAAACUGGGGCUAAUACCGGAUAGGAGCUCCUGCUGCAUGGGGGGGGUUGGAAAGUUUCGGCGGUUGGGGAUGGACUCGGGGCUUAUCAGCUUGUUGGUGGGGUAGUGGCUUACCAAGGCUUUGACGGGUAGCCGGACUGAGAGGGUGACCGGGCACAUUGGGACUGAGAUACGGCCCAGACUCAUACGGGAGGCAGCAGUGGGGAAUAUUGCACAAUGGGCGGAAGCCGGAUGCAGCAACGCCGCGUGCGGGAUGACGGCCUUCGGGUUGUAAACCGCUUUCGCCUGUGACGAAGCGUGAGUGACGGUAAUGGGUAAAGAAGCACCGGCUAACUACGU
rnacentral:rRNA from 1 species